rnacentral:lncRNA from 1 species
UUUAGGUUUAGCAAUGAAAAUUAGGAUUUCACUAUAGAAAAUUUAAGUUGGUAAGAUUAUGAUUUCCUAGAUCUAGGUUUUAUGUUCUAGUUUCUAGGGUUUUUGCUAGCCUAUGGUUUCUCUCUUUGGGGUUUUCUCUAUCUAAGUUAAGUAUAUGAUUGGGAUUCCUAAAAGUCUCAGAUCUAUGAGUUUAGUACGUUUUGUGCCUAUUUA